AACGAACGCUGGCGGCAUGCCUAACACAUGCAAGUCGAACGAGACCUUCGGGUCCUGUCGCGCACGGCUGCGUCACGCGUGGGAACCUUCCCUUAUGUUCGGAAUAACUCCCCGACUGGGGUGCUAAUACCGGAUCAUGUCUUCUGACCAAAGAUUUAUCGCCUUUGGUUGGGCGCUCGUUGGAUUAGCUAGUUGUUAGGGUAAAAGCAUACCAAGGCGACGAUCCAUAGCUGGUAUGAGAGGCUGAUCAGCCACACUGAGAGGGAGACACGGCCCAGAAUCCUACGGGAAGGAGCAGUGGGGAAUAUUGCACAAUGGGCGAAAGGCUGAUCCAGCAAUGACGCGAGAGCGAUGAAAGCAUUAGAGUAGUAAAGCUCUUUUACCCAGGAUGAUAAUGACAGUACCGAGAGAAUAAGCUCCGGCUAACUCCGUG
rnacentral:rRNA from 1 species